UACAUGGGGGUGCAAACGUUGCUCGGAAUUAUUGGGCGUAAAGCGCACGUAGGCGGUUCGUUAAGUCGGAUGUGAAAGCCCUCGGCUCAACUGAGGAAGUGCACCCGAAACUGGCGAGCUUGAGUACGAAAAGAGGAUCGCGGAAUUCCCGGUGUAGAGGUGAAAUUCGUAGAUAUCGGGAGGAACACCAGUGGCGAAGGCGGCGAUCUGGGAAGAUACUGACGCUGAGGUGCGAAAGCGUGGGGAGCAAACAGG
rnacentral:rRNA from 1 species